CUUCACUAGACCUCGCAGAGAAACACCUCACCGCAGAUAGUACAAAGGACAUUGCCACGGCCACAACCACGUCCACUGACGCAAAUCACCAUUGCCAUAACCACAAAUCAUAGUCAUUGAAGACCAAUUCUUCCUUUCUUCAAUUUCUAAUCAAUCAAACAGAAUUCAAGAAAAGAAAUAUAAGGGUAGAAAAGAUGGAUAAGAGUUGGAUGAUUAUAAAAGAUACGUUGAAAAGUAAAGAGUAUCAACAAGGUGUUUAGUCAUUUAUUGAGAGCUAAGAUGGAGGUUCUUCAUGAGGAAUGCCAAAGAGAUCAUGAAGAGUUGAUGAAGUAGAAAGAAAGAGCGCCAGAGAGAUUGGGAAGAGUCGAUAAGGGAGAGAUAAGAAGAUGAAACAAGUGGAAGAAGGAAAAAAAAGCAAGGGAGGCACAUCAAGUACACCGGAAUCAUCUAAACGAUGUGGUUUUACAACUUACAACUCUCUUAUAGGGUGUAGAUGGCCAUCCUACUAUUUGCUAUGGGUAUAUAUGCCUACUUCCCAAGGCUUGCCCCAGAGUCGGAGGUAGAGACACCUCCCAUGGUCCCGUAUUCACACAGAUACGACGUGAGAUGCCAGCAGAGGCCCCGAGAGUCUUUCUCAUUCCUUCGCCGAUAUUUCGAUACCAUAGCCGCAGCAGAGAUCACCUGGCAGCCGUGGGCAGAGAUGCCUGCUGGGGUCAGAGGCCAGUUUGUCGAUGCUUGGGAGAGUCCCGAUUUCAGGUUUUGCUUGAGGGCCCGGUCUGUUGAGCGUGGUUCUUAGGGUAGCGCUUCCUGCGAUAGAGCCUCGGUUUGCUCGAGCCAGUGGUUCCGAUGCCGUCUCCCACGCACAUGAGGUUAUAGAAAGGUGCACCCCACAGGAGAUGAUCGAUUUCACGAUAGGUUGGGACGCCAACCUCUUCAGGCUUGAUGGCGACUACACUGUCUUCAUCCAGACAUAUCUCAUGCCGCAUCGGACCGGCACUUGUAGGGGUGAGAGAGAUAGACUUGCAGCCGCAGCAGAGAGAGCGGGUGGAUCUAAGGCGACUUAAGCCCAUGACAGGCGAGGCGAAGAGCAGGAUGGCCGGAGCUGCCCACUUCCGUGACCUGCUAGGGACGUGCUGAAGAGACUUAUUAGAUUCCCAUCACUCCUGCCCCAGCCGGCCACGAGCUUGUCUGACUGCGAGGCCCGACCCCGGUAUGUACCAUACAUUACAUUCUACAUAUUCAAUUCAUUUCAGUUUGCGCAUUGCGAAUUACUAAUCAUCUCAACACAUUUUCAGGCACCCAUAGAGUACACAGGGCAGGCUCUCGAGCUGUCAGCUUCUCUGAUAGGGAUGGCGCAGAUGAGCAUGGAUCUGCACAGUAUUUACGGGAUCUCGAUUCCUUUCCAUAUGCCAGCCCCAUCGGGCACCCCAGCAGGAGUUGCAACAAGACCUUCAGCACCUCCUCCAGCAGCAGAGAGAGAGGGACGAGGGAUGUCGGUACACAGCCGAGGUAGGGAUAGGCGCACUCAUACCGAGAGCAGUUCAUGGGGGCCUGUCCCGAAUGAUGAUGAGUCUGAUGAGGACGAGGAGCCGGCGAGCCCAUAGUCAGUGUCGUCUCAGGGUGGUGGGGAUGCUGGGGACGGCUUCGAAGAGGGGAGCAGAGAUGGUUCUGGAUCCGACUCUAGCUCAGGUGCAGACGAUGGCGUUGAUGGUGACAGCUCUGAGGCCAUGCCCAGGAAAAGGGCGACGACGACCUCUCGAUCUUGAGAUGGCCGAGGUUGAUUCAGAUGCUUCUUUUUCAGUUCCUUUUCUUUUUGCUUAGUUUUCUUUUUGCUGGUAGUAUUAACACAUUGUACAACCUUAGGCAGUUUUUACUUUUCUUUAAAAACUUAUAUUGCAAAAAGGUGACCAUGAUUGGAAAUGAAA